AGCCCACUAGCUAGCCCCUCCAUCAAACCUAAAAACUUAAAUUUUCCCAUUUAUAUUUCCCCCAAGACCCUAAUUCCACGAAACAAAUCAUUUUACCCCCUAAGUAUGGGCGACAGAAAAGGACCUCGGAGCCAUAGAGAAAGUACCGUAAGGGAACGCUGAAAGAGAAAUGAAACAAAUUAGUCAAGCACAUAAAAGCAGAGAUUCUCCCUCGUACCUUUUGCAUCAUGAAUCAGCAAGAAACACCGAGCAAAAAGCAUUUUAGUUCGUGACCCCGAAACCAAGCGAGCUACUCCAAGACAGCCUUUUGGGCGUACCCGUCUCUGUUGCAAAAGAGUGGGGAGAGCUUUGAGUAGAGGUGAAAUAUCAACCGGGCUUGGUUAUAGCUGGUUGCCCAGGAACUGAAUAUAAGUUCAGCCCUUUAUCCUCUUCCCCCGCCUUUACCCAAAGAGCCUAAGAGGAUAAAAGAGUCAGUUAGAGGGGGGACAGCCCCUCUAAAAAAAGAUACAACUUUAUUAGCCGGGUUAAGAUUUAAUCCCUAAGGAAAUGUAGCCUAGUUGGCCUAAAAGCAGCCACCCAAACAGAAAGCGUUAAAGCUCACGCACAUCCUCCCUCCCAUUAUUAGAAUCAAAAUAUCUUAACCCCCUUUCAAUACUGAGCCCUUCCAUGCUUCCAUGGAAGAGAUUAUGCUGAUAUGAGUAAUAAGAGAUGAAGAAUCUCUCCCCGCACAAGUAUACAUCGGAACGAACCCCCACCGAAAUUUAACGGCCCCUACGAAAGAGGGAACUGGGACAUCACUAAAUCACAAGAAAUAACCUCAUCGUUCUCCCGUUGACCUUACACUAGAGUGCCUCUAGGGAAAGACUAAUAAGGAAAGAAGGAACUCGGCA
rnacentral:rRNA from 1 species